UACGGGUGGCGCUAGUGUUAUUCUUCUUCAUUGGGCGUAAAGGGUGCGUAGGCGGUUGUUUAAGUUUGGUGUGAAAUCUCCCGGCUCAACUGGGAGGGUGCGCCGAAUACUGAAUGACUAGAGUGCGGGAGAGGAUAGUGGAAUUCCAGGUGUAGCGGUGAAAUGCGUAGAUAUCUGGAGGAACACCGGUGGCGAAGGCGGCAUUCUGGACCGAUAUUGACGCUGAGGAGCGAAAGCCAGGGGAGCAAACGGG
rnacentral:rRNA from 1 species